AGGAGGCGUGAUGAUAUUUAUCCAUUAUUUCUGCAUUCGAAUGAUGAAUACUUACAUGCACUACCAUCUGAUCUCUU
rfam:Corchorus capsularis cultivar CVL-1 contig08033, whole genome shotgun sequence.